rnacentral:rRNA from 1 species
UACGGGGGGUGCAAGCGUUGUUCGGAAUUACUGGGCGUAAAGGGCGCGUAGGCGGGUGGACAAGUCUCUCGUGAAAGCCCACGGCUCAACCGUGGAAUUGCGGGAGAUACUGUCUGUCUUGAGUCCGGGAGAGGAGGGUGGAAUUCCCAGUGUAGCGGUGAAAUGCGUAGAUAUUGGGAGGAACACCGGUGGCGAAGGCGGCUCUCUGGACCGGUAAUGACGCUGAGGCGCGAAAGCUACGGGAGCAAACGGG